CAGAGUUUAACAACUCCCAACCCAUGUGAACUUACCUUUGUUGCCUCGGUGGAAGCUACCCUGGACCUACCCUGUAGCAAGUUACCCUGUAGCGAGUUACCCUGUAACAACCUACCCUGUAACGACCUACCCUGUAGCGUCCCGGGCCGGCAACCACCGGUGGACCUAUAAACUCUUGUUAUUUAUUGACAUCUGAGCGUCUUAUUUUAAUAAGUCA
rnacentral:misc_RNA from 1 species